rnacentral:rRNA from 1 species
UACAUAGGGUGCAAGCGUUGUCCGGAAUUAUUGGGCGUAAAGAGCUCGUAGGUGGUUCGAUACGUCGGAUGUGAAAAUCAGGGGCUCAACCCCUGACCUGCAUUCGAUACGGUCGAGCUAGAGUGUGGUAGGGGAGACUGGAAUUCCUGGUGUAGCGGUGGAAUGCGCAGAUAUCAGGAGGAACACCGAUGGCGAAGGCAGGUCUCUGGGCCAUUACUGACACUGAGGAGCGAAAGCGUGGGGAGCGAACAGG